UAAAUGAUUUACAUUUGUUGUACUGACGCUGAUUGCAACUGCAUAAAAAAGGUUUAUUGUGUGGUCCUGGUGGCGGGCGAACCCGCCCAGGAAACAACAAGUGCGCAAAAGACAAGGGUAAUAAAUAAUCCAGCCGCGAACAGCCUUCAUAUUUUAUUGUGUAAUGAUCCCUCCGCAGGUUCACCUACGGAGA
rnacentral:misc_RNA from 1 species